UUUUCCUACGGGAGGCAGCAGUGGGGAAUAUUGCACAAUGGGGGGAACCCUGAUGCAGCGACGCCGCGUGGGUGAAGGAGCACCUCGGUGCGUAAAGCCCUAUCGGCAGGGAAGAAAAGCGAACAGGUUCGCCUGGACGGGACCUGACUAAGAAGCCCCGGCUAACUACGUGCCAGCAGCCGCGGUAAUACGUAGGGGGCAAGCGUUAUCCGGAUUCACUGGGGGUAAAGGGAGCGUAGACGGCGACGCCAGGCUGGAGUGAA
rnacentral:rRNA from 1 species